GACAGAGGUGCCAAGCGUUAGGCGGAAUCACUGGGCUUAAAGCGUGUGUAGGCGGGUCGUUAAGUGUCUUGUGAAAUCCCCCGGCUCAACCGGGGAAUGGCUGGGCAUACUGGCGAUCUUGAGCAGUUCAGGGGCAGAUGGAACAAGUGGUGGAGCGGUGAAAUGCGCAGAUAUCAGGAGGAACACCAAUUGCGAAGGCAGCUCGCUGGGACGUUACUGACGCUGAGACGCGAAAGCGUGGGGAGCAAACAGG
rnacentral:rRNA from 1 species